UCAUACAAUUUAUACAUACAAACAUAGUUUAAAUUAGAAUCCAUAAUUAUUUGAAAUAACAUGUAUAUAUUAAUACCAAUAUCAUCAUAACAUUGUAUUACCUUAAUGUUGUUUAAAUCGUUUUGACUUAAGCAUGUAAUCCUGAACAUCGAAGACAAUUAUUUUAUUUUCUUCUAAAGAUAACGAUUCAUCGCCACAUGAUAACAAUUCGACAGUGAUAUGAUACGGAAAAGUUUCAAUCUGUAUAGUUGUCUGAUGGCAGUGUAGAAGGUACAUUCUAGCAAGUAAUGAGAAGUGUUUUCGAUGCUUCCACAUGCACAUAGUGGGGAUCUAACAAUGUAUUACCUAUAUCAAUUUUCAAUAAGAUAGCUACAUUUAAAUUGAUUAGUGGAAGGGUUUCUCUCGACAUUAACUGGAAUGGAGUUCCAGCUAUUGAUAACAGAGGGCAAGAAAUAUAUUUUAUACACAUUAGAAUGGCAGUGAAUGGGAGCGAUAGUUGUAACAUCCGAAUGUCUAGUAUUAUGGCUAUGUAUUCCAGUAACUGAUUGUAGUACAAGACAGUUGAGACAUUGAGGGAUAUUUUGGAAGAACGUUUUGUGGAAAUCAAUUCGUGUAUGUUGAUGUCUACGUUCAAUUAAUUUGUUCCAGCCUACUUCCAUGCUUGUCAGUCUGGUUGCACCAGAUACAAUCCGAGCUGCCUCAGUAUUAAUUGGUUCCAGUUUAGCACUAUAUUCAUCGGUAAAAUUAUCCUACACUACGUCAGCAUAUUCAAUAAUAGGUCUGAUAAAUGAAAAGUAAAUAGUUUGUUAUGUGUUUCGGUAAAGUUCGAAUUUUAGAGAACGUAGAAUAUUGAUUCAGGCUGAGGUUUUAUUAAUAAUGUAAUAUACAUGUUUGACCCAACUCAUUCGUAAAAAUACUCCUAGGUGCUUGGGUACGUCAACAUUUAUUAUUUCUUCAUUAUUCAUGUACAAUGGUUGGUGAUGAGGACUUGGGUUUGUUUGACUUAUUAAUAUACUUUCUGUUUUUUGUUUGUUUAGACCACUUUGGUGGUGUUUUUAUUUUGACUGAAGAGCGAUUCCUGUAGUAGUUGGAUUAAUAACUGAAGGGUUUUCAGUCAUAUAACCACGUAAGGAAGAAAGGAAAUAUAUCGGAAAGUGAACUGUAAUGGAUUCACGCUAAAUGGAGAAACUCUUUUUUCUCGAGUUGACGACUGUGCAUCGGGUUGUCGACUCGGGCUCUCAGUCAUAGAACUGAUUUCAACUUCAACACGAUGCUGGAUAAAAGAUGGGGAAAAAACGUUCCGAAGAAAAAACUAAAUUUUGUCAUCUGAAGUGGAGUUACAUCGAUUUUUUUCAAGAGUGUCAAUGAUCUGUUCUAAAGUUCUCUAUAUGAAGUUAAUUGAACAUUUUAUUUCCAUUGGUUUAUGGAAUUUCAAAAUCUAUGUUUGCGGCUAAUUUUUCGGUUUGACAUUAUGAGAGAGCAUUUUCGAACAUGGAAAAACAACCCAUUAAAAAAAUGAGAAAAAAGCAAAAUCAUUUAAUCAGUAACUUGGACUAGUUACUUAUAACAUUUGGUUUCAAAUUGUGUAAAUUCGGAAAAAAAAUGCAGAUAAAGAGAAUAUAAUAAAUUUUGUCAUCUUGAAAUGAUUGGAACGUGGGAGAAAGAUGAUACAAAGUGAGGCGGAAUGUCAGAAUUGUUAUUCUGAAUUAAUAUACUUACGAUUUGAAAUCAACUCGAAAACAUCACCGGAAACAAUAAGGACAAAACGCAUGCAGUCAUUAUCAUUUUCGUCACACUGGAGUCAUAAUAACAGUCUACUUUCGGACUUUUGGUUUUUGUAUUAUCAAUAUACUGUUCUUUCUGCAUGCGAGGUAAACUCAUCCAUAUAAGAUCAGGGAAAAAUUGGUAUUUUGAAAAAUAAUGAAAAAUAAAAAUAUCGUCAGAAUGUA